rnacentral:rRNA from 1 species
AUACGUAGGGUGCAAGCGUUAAUCGGAAUUACUGGGCGUAAAGCGUGCGCAGGCGGUUUUGUAAGACAGUGGUGAAAUCCCCGGGCUCAACCUGGGGACUGCCAUUGUGACUGCAAGGCUGGAGUGCGGCAGAGGGGGGUGGAAUUCCGCGUGCAGCAGUGAAAUGCGUAGAUAUGCGGAGGAACACCGAUGGCGAAGGCAAUCCCCUGGGCCUGCACUGACGCUCAUGCACGAAAGCGUGGGGAGCAAACAGGAUUAGAUACCCUGGUAGUCCACGCCCUAAACGAUGUCAACUGGUUGUUGGGGAUUUAUUUUCUCAGUAACGAAGCUAACGCGUGAAGUUGACCGCCUGGGGAGUACGGCCGCAAGGCUGAAACUCAAAUGAAUUGACGGGG